rnacentral:rRNA from 1 species
UGGCGGACGGGUGAGUAACGCGUGGGUAACCUGCCUCACACAGGGGGAUAAACAGUUGGAAAACGACCGCUAAUACCGCAUAACCCGCUGGUACCGCAUGGUACUGACGGAAAAGAUUUAUCGGUGUGAGAUGGACCCGCGUCUGAUUAGCCAGUUGGCAGGGUAACGGCCUACCAAAGCGACGAUCAGUAGCCGGCCUGAGAGGGUGAACGGCCACAUUGGGACUGAGACACGGCCCAAACUCCUACGGAAGGCAGCAG